UCCGACCAGUUCAUCCCAAAUCUCACUGGAUGUAGGCAUUUAUAUUCAAAGAAAUUCAUUAUUGAUAUUGUAGACACCUAUUUUUGUCCCUUCCAAAUUCAAUUCAUCCAUUUUUAUAUCACGUUAUCAUAUACCUCCACCCAUGUGAUUAUUUAUCCACGAGAAAAAAACAAAAAUAACAAAACUUUUAACAAAAUGAACCACCCAACCAAUCAAAUUUUAACAAGCACUACCUUACCUAACCACCCUACCCCCUUUCACCCAUAUCGAACCCCACUCAUAUUUUUCCCAUUUUUGGUUUUUCCAUAACCGAAUCAGUAACAAGGAGAGAGAGAGGGGGAUACGGAUAGUGAGGGAAAAAAAAGGGCGAGAUACACAUAUCAUCAUCUUUCCAUGGAUUAGAAAUCAUAGGGAACAGAUCGAAGAGGGGUAGGGGGAAUUCCUUCUUGGCUUUCUUCUUCUCCAUCGAAAAUACAGAGACACACCAUUCUUUUUCUUUUCUCCAAGAACACACACACCUCUAGACCAAAUAUACUGCACAGAAAAGGGAGCAACAGAGAGAGAGAUUGGGACGCGAGAGAGAGAAACGAGGGUUGAAUCGAAAAGGUGAACGGAAAUCGCUACGAUUCUAGUGGGUUUGAGUUUUUCUGGCGACCUCUGCGCAAGAGCUGACUGUUUCUAAGAAUUGUAAAGCGACUUGGGCCGAAAAACAUCGAAAUUCACUGAAAAAUCCGACCCUUUCGUCAGUUUUUUUUUUGUGCUCUUCGCAGCCCUCGCCGGAGCUCCGUUUAGUAUUGAUUUGUUUUCUUCUGUUGGAUUCUGGGGAUUUUGGGACUCGUCGGUUUUCGUACUGUUUAUGGAAAUUUGGGUACUGUUUGGGUCUUAAUCAGAUUGUUGUGAUUAGUUUUGGAUCGUUGUUCCGCUAUUCGGGUCGGAAUCAUCGCUUUUGAGGUUCUAUUCCAAGUUUCAGGUCUGGGUUUUUGAUAUUAUCGACGAAAGCAAGAUCUAUUCAGGUCCAUUUCUUUCACUCGUUCUCUUUUCUUCAUUUCGAUUGGUUGCAUUACGUGUUGGUCGAUUAUGAGGGCUUGAUUUUGUUGGUAUUGUUUUGCUGUUUAAAUUCGUGAGUAUGGAUUGAUGAAAUGGUGAUUGAUAAAAGGGAUUUGGUGGGGGGGGUUGAGAAUUGAAAAUUAACAAAAAGGAUAAAUUUGGUUUAAUUUUGAUUUAUUGUUGAUAUGAAUCGUGAUAGAUUUAUGAUGAGUUGAAACGAAUAGGCAAUAUAGGUUUGGGUAGACAAAUUUUAGAACUUGUUGUUUUGAUUGAAUGUUGGAAUGUGUGUGAAAAUGUUUCUUUCUAGUUCAUUGUAUUUAAUUCAAAUGUAUUUAUUUAGUCGGAGAAUGCCCCGAAGUAUUUGGUACCCGGAGGACGUUCGUGACGAAGGCCCGAGGCUUCGGGUAGAGCAUAGUCUAUGAUUAGCUUAUAAAUUGGAUUUAUAUUUUUACAUUUUUCUAUUUUUGGAUUGUAUAAUUGGACUGGACAUUAAAUUUUGGAUUGUUUUUGUGUUGUUCGCUUGAUUGAUUGUUUUUGUGUGCUUUGUAUGGUUUAUACAUCCUUAGUGUCAAAAAUUAGCCGAGAUGCUUCACCAAACGAUCGUGGUCAAUCUAGGGAUCGAGGGGUGCCUAACACCUUCCCUUCGGUCAAUAGAAUUCCUUAGCCGUAAUAUCUGUUCGCGGAUCAGUUUUAGAGUCGAACCGUUUUGAAAACGGAUUUCCAAAGGUGACUUGGCACACCCAAUUUAUGCCAAGUGGUGACUCUAAGUUUUGAAUGUAAAUAAUUCUUUUCGAAACAAAUUAUCUUCAUUUUGUUACUUUAAUAAUAAAAAUCCUUUCGAAAUUUAAAAUCGAUCUUUUUUGAAGUUAAAAGGGGGUGUGACAGAUAUGUUUCGACAUUAUUUGUUAGUUUAAAAAUGUUUGUAUUAAUUAUCACAGAGUACACGUUCAAUGUAUGUAUUCAAAAAUAUUUUUCUUUCUAUAGCUAUGAAGUUGUAUGUUCACAAACUCAUAAAAAUGUUAGUGUUAUUCAAUUUAUAAUCUUUAUCGACUUGUAAUUAUUAGAAAUUUUAUGGACUUACACACACCUCUCUCUCUAUAUAUAUUGUAUUAAGGAUGAUUGCAUAUUGAUUGUCAUUGUUAAAAGCUGACCUAAAUUAAAGUUAUUUGCCAUAAAGUUUAAUGUUAAUGGGUCUAAAAGACACCUCAUAAAGUACGGGGGAUCUUAAGUGAAGAUAUCAAGGUGUAAUAUUUAAUUUAAUAAUGGGCUAAAUUAGAAUUACAUAAAUUAGUGUCUAUUAUAGAUACAGGAUUGUGCUAGAGUUGAUCAAGUAAUUGACUUUUUCAUUCUUAAGUAAUUGGUAUGAGUUCAUUUAGUUAGUUGGGUUGAUAUCAUAUUUAUAUUUGUUGUUUUUAUCUAGUCAGUAUUGUGCUAGUUAAUUGAGUACAUAUAUAUAGCAGAGGUUCAUCUCAUUUUAACAUAGAUUUAUAUAUUUAAAUAUUCCUUAAUCAAUGAAACGACGACUGCCUCCAAUUUAUUAGUCAGUCUUACUCGAUUUGAUAUGUUAACAUAGUAUCAGAGCGUGGAUCCUGAUUUUCUUUCUUGUGACGUUAUCCUUGAAGGUUUAUCUGAGUUUUUAAUCGCGAUUUGAAAUUUUUAGGAAUUCCGACAAAUCUAUUAUCAUAGUUCCGCUGUCACUGGUUUUCAAUUCAUUUUUGCUUAACCUUCUAGCUUCGCUAUCAUCUUUGCAUUUUUAGGUGAUUUUUUUGUCUCACGGCUAUGCAAUGUCUUAAGUAGAUUUAAUUCCUUAUUUACAUCUCCCACUAUUAGUGAGUUGUGAGAUGUUUUACAUAUUUUUGAUACUUAAGUUUGUUCGGGUUUUUUUUCCAAGUCCUAUUUUUUGUGCUUCUAAUACGUUUGAUAACUUAAGAACAUAUACAAAUCAUUUUUAUUAUAAAAGUGACCUGACCCAAACUCGAUAAAAGUGAAAAAUCAGACAAAAGUUAGGCAAAUUAGGAAAGUCCUUUUGAUUUCCACACAAGCCGACUAUUUGCCUUCUACUCGUUGUCAUCGAUAUCCAUGGAAGAUCGAUGUUUGUUUACCAGCAUCAUGUCUAUGUAACAAGCUGACUAUGAUUCUCAUUGAUGCUGCCAAUUUGUUACUUCACCUUAAGUUACUUUUGCCCUUACCUUCUUCCAUUUCCUAACUCAGUGAGUUGAGUGAGCUUAAUGAAAGUUAAUACCACCAUCUAAGCUCCAAAUUUGAGUUCAGUAAGCUAAGGUUAAGAAUAACAAAAUUUUUGUUCGUGCGAUAGGUUAGUCAUGUCUAUAAGUUAAGAUUUCCAACAUAGGUUUUAAAAGAAAUUGUAUAUUAUAGCACGUAAUUUGACUUAUUUUUUAGGUUACUAAUCCUACUUUAGAUGGUUAUUUUUACAAGUCUAUACAAUAUUAUCAUUUUUAAUUUCUUCCAAUAAAAACCAUUGACAUAGUUUAUUGUUAAGUAUUAUUAUUGCUAGUUUUGGGAGACGUGUGUUCCAUCCUAGCGUGGACUUUUCUGCCAAAAAUUAAAUUUAUUUAAAUUAGUCGGAUUCAAAGACAUAUAACACCCCUCCGCCCUUGGCUCCCCUCCAAAAAAAAAAAAAAAGGUGUUAAGAACAUGAGCAAAAAUGUCAAAUUUCCUUAUGUCAUAUUUGUAAGAGAAUUACUUUUGUUCUAAGUUAAACUAUUCGUCUAGCAUUAUCUUUCUUUUUUGAUAAAUUUAUACACGUAAAAUCCACUCAUUUCAUGGUAAAGUUUCUUUAAUUGAAUUACUUUAUAUUACUAUUUUCUAACCACAAGUUUAUGAAUAAACCAAAAGUAACAAAUUUCAAAAUUAAGCAAUUUUAAAUAUAGGACUACAUAUAGAUAAUUUUGAAUAUUUUUCUUAGAACAUAUAUCUAGAAUACGUCAAAUAGCAUUUAUACGUAUGAUUUUGACAUCCCAACUAAAUUAUUUAGGUGUAUCUCUUGAAAACAAACUGUAAUCAAGAGUAUUUAAUACAUACGUACAUAAAUAAAUAAAUAAAUAAAUAAAUAAAUAGUCAUGAGUUCAAAUAUUGAAUACUUACCCUUGCAUACUUUUCUU
rnacentral:lncRNA from 1 species